UACAGAGGUCUCAAGCGUUGUUCGGAUUCAUUGGGCGUAAAGGGUGCGUAGGCGGCGCGGUAAGUCGGGUGUGAAAUCUCGGAGCUUAACUCCGAAACUGCAUUCGAUACUGCCGUGCUUGAGGACUGGAGAGGAGACUGGAAUUUACGGUGUAGCGGUGAAAUGCGUAGAUAUCGUAAGGAAGACCAGUGGCGAAGGCGGGGUCUCUGGACAGUUUCCUGACGUGAGGCACGAAGGUCAGGGGGGAGCAAAACGGGG
rnacentral:rRNA from 1 species